rnacentral:rRNA from 1 species
AUUGAACGCUGGCGGCAGGCCUAACACGCAAGUCGAGCGGAUGAAGGGAGCUUGCUCCUGGCUUCAGCGGCGGACGGGUGAGUAAUGCCUAGGAAUCUGCCUGGUAGUGGGGGAUAACGUCCGGAAACGGGCGCUAAUACCGCAUACGUCCUGAGGGAGAGAGUGGGGGAUCUUCGGACCUCACGCUAUCAGAUGAGCCUAGGUCGGAUUAGCUAGUUGGUGGGGUAAAGGCCUACCAAGGCGACGAUCCGUAACGGGUCUGAGAGGAUGAUCAGUCACACUGGAACUGAGACACGGUCCAGACUCCUACGGGAGGCAGCAGUGGGGAAUAUUGGGCAAUGGGCGAAAGCCUGAUCCAGCCAUGCCGCGUGUGUGAAGAAGGUCUUCGGAUUGUAAAGCACUUUAAGUUGGGAGGAAGGGCAGUAAGUUAAUACCUUGCUGUUUUGACGUUACCAACAGAAUAAGCACCGGCUAACUUCGUG